rnacentral:lncRNA from 1 species
CCGGCCCAGACAGCGCAGGGCGGGCAGUGCUUUGCCGGGACCGACAUCUCCCGCAGACCAGCACAGCACGGAACAGCACAGGCGCCGCAACGAGGCCAAGAAGCGACCACAGACUGGAGGGGGAUCGAGAGCCCCAGAGACCACCAGACCUCAGACCUGUUUCCAGAAAGGUCUGAAAGAACAGCCUGUGCAUGGGAACUCAUUGGCACAGAAGACAGAAAGCCACCUUCCGUGGGGAACCCUGUCCAUGCAAAGGUACCCCCAGCAAGCCCAGCAGCCUGGACGUCCCUCCAGCUGCAUCCACGCUGGACACCGGACUGACCCCUUGCACAGGAUGGCGGCGUCACCCAUUCUCAGAGGAAGGUAGGAGACUGUGCUGAAUGUCACCUCCAGGAGCUGUAGGAACAGUCCCUUGACAAGGUCCCAGUGUGCCAGUAUCGAAAAGUCAGUUAAAUUAUGGCCUUUUGUAGUGCUGUAAAAAACAGCUCCCUUUAGGGUUCCUGGAUGCCCUCUUUGGUUGAGGCUGCAAUCCCUUGGAUGAAGUUGUCCCUGUGGAUACAACUGGUACUUCAUGUUCCUAGGAAGGACCCUCCCCAGCUGGGCAAGCUUUGUGCAGCCCUGGUUUCUGUUGCACUCGGGGCAGCUCUUUCCCAUCCUGUCCAGAGCAAGACAAUGCCAUGACCCAGAUGGGAGUGCAGAGCAGGUCUGGACUGACAGGACAGUCAUCCACGACCACAUCAGCCUGACAUUCCCUGAUGAUGGCAACGGGAUGAACUCGGAGCAGCUGCACAAAAUACUAAGGCACUGUGCAACCUCUCUGGAGUGCCCAUUAGUGGAGAGAAAGACAAUUCAUAUGGUUGUGACUGUCUUUCCUUUCAGUUGGCAACCAAGAGAAGAGACAGACUCGGCUCCAAUCCUUUGGAGUAUUGAUAAGAGAAGGUAUUGUGGGAAAUGACCCUGUGCCUUUUCUGUUUCUCCUGCCAGAGUCGGUAGGGUUUGGACUGAUCUCUCUUUUAUUUCUCCAGGUAGCAGAGAGGUUUCUUUCCCCUUUAGUAGAGAAGAUAGUGUAGAGACCCCUUAUUAGAGAAGAUAGUGUACAGACCCCUUUAGUAGAGAAGAUAGUGUACAGAGAAGAUAGUAGAGAAGAUAGUGUACCCCUUAUUAGAGAAGAUUGCUCUGCCUGCAGCUGUACCCAUGGACAAGCUUGGAUUCCAACAGUUCUGUUCACAGCAAGUGAGUCCCCACUUGUGUGUAUUUCUCCUGCUGAUCUACGCGUAGGAGAUGUUUUUCCACUGACCUUGGGUUUGGGAGCUGGAGGGUUUGUGGGUGUUGUUUUCAAAUCAGGUCUGUUUUGUGGGCUUUUGCAGUAUUUGGUACCCGAAGCCGAGCACGCAGAUCAUCCUGGGAGGACAAAGAGCCAAAACACAGCUGGUUUCCAAAGGUCUGGCCUCCACUGAGUGUGACACAGACAGGUGCAAAAUCCUGAUUUCCAGCACUUGCUGGAUCCUGAGCCAGUUGGUGUGACUGGGCAGGUGUGGGUCUGGGUCCUGUCUUUGGGAAUGUUAAUUGGUCAGGCUUGAUGACCCUCUGGGUUUGUCUCCUUCCUUUUUCUUCCCUUCCCAACUGCAAACAGGAACGUUUUUCCCAUUCCACAGAUCCGUACCAGUCAGUGGGACUGACCAGGCUGGUUCCUGUCACUUCCUGCCCCAGCAGUCAGCU